rnacentral:rRNA from 1 species
GGAAGAUUCCCCCACAACUGGUACUGAGACACGGACCAGACUCCUACGGGAUGCAGCAGUGAGGAAUAUUGGUCAAUGGAUGCAACUCUGAGCCAGCCCAUGCCGCGUGCAGGAUGACGGUCCUAUGGAUUGUAAACUGCUUUUGUACAGGAAGAAACCUCCCGUACGAAGUAGGGACUUGACGGUACUGUAAGAAUAAGGAUCGGGCUAACUCCGUGCCCAGCAGCCGCGGUAAUACGGAGGAUCCGAGCGUUAUCCGGAAUUAUUGGGUUUAAAGGGUUCGUAGGCGGCUUUGUAAGUCAGUGGUGAAAUUUCCUAGCUUAACUAGGACACUGCCAUUGAUACUGCAGAGCUUGAAUAAUAUGGAAGUAACUAGAAUAUGUAGUGUAGCGGUGAAAUGCUUAGAUAUUACAUGGAAUACCAAUUGCGAAGGCAGGUUACUACGUAUUUAUUGACGCUGAUGAACGAAAGCGUGGGGAGCGAACAGGAUUAGAUACCCUGGUAGUCCACGCCGUAAACGAUGGAUACUAGCUGUUCGGUUUUCGGACUGAGUGGCUAAGCGAAAGUGAUAAGUAUCCCACCUGGGGAGUACGUUCGCAAGAAUGAAACUCAAAGGAAUUGACGGGGGCCCGCACAAGCGGUGGAGCAUGUGGUUUAAUUCGAUGAUACGCGAGGAACCUUACCAGGGCUUAAAUGUAGAUUGACAGAUUUGGAAACAGAUUUUUCUUCGGACAAUUUACAAGGUGCUGCAUGGUUGUCGUCAGCUCGUGCCGUGAGGUGUCAGGUUAAGUCCUAUAACGAGCGCAACCCCUAUUGUUAGUUACCAGCGCGUAGUGGCGGGGACUCUAGCAAGACUGCCGGUGCAAACCGUGAGGAAGGUGGGGAUGACGUCAAAUCAUCACGGCCCUUACGUCCUGGGCUACACACGUGCUACAAUGGCAAGUACAGAAAGCAGCUACCUGGCAACAGGAUGCGAAUCUCCAAAGCUUGUCUCAGUUCGGAUUGGAGUCUGCAACUCGACUCUAUGAAGCUGGAAUCGCUAGUAAUCGGAUAUCAGCCAUGAUCCGGUGAAUACGUUCCCGGGCCUUGUACACACCGCCCGUUCAUAGUCCAUGGAAGCUGGGGGUACCUGAAGUCCGGGACCGCAAGGAGCGUCCUCUAGAGAUAACCCCUA